rnacentral:rRNA from 1 species
AGAUUAAGCCAUGCAUGCGUAAGUGCAUACUUUAUAUGGUUAAAACCGCGAAUGGCUCAUUAAAUAAGUCUUGGUUUAUUAGAUCAUGCGGAUCAUAUGGAUAACUGUGGAAAAUCUAGAGCUAAUACAUGCCACGAAUGCUUCGUCUUACGAAGAAGUGCUUUUAUUAGAUCAAAGCCAAUGACUUCCUUCGGGUSGUCAAACGUUGUGCUGAUUCUGAGUAAAGUAAGCUGAUUGCAUUGCCGUUUAGGCAGGCGACGUGUCUUUCAAGUGUCUUACCUAUCAACUAUCGUUGGUAGUUGAUAUGACUACCAUGGUAAUAACGGGUAACGGGGAAUCAGGGUUCGAUUCCGGAGAGAGAGCAUGAGAAACGGCUGUCACAUCCAAGGAAGGCAGCAGGCGCGCAAAUUACCCAAUCCUAGAUCGGGGAGGUAGUGACGAAAAAUAACGAUGCCGUAAUCUUCGGAUUCGGCAAUUGGAAUGAGAACAAUCAAAAUCCUUUAUCGAGGAUCAAUUGGAGGGCAAGUUCUGGUGCCAGCAGCCGCGGUAAUUCCAGCUCGAAUAGCGUAUGUUAAAUUUGCUGCGGUUAAAAAGCUCGUAGUUGGGUAUCAGGAGAUGAACUCUGCGCUGUCUAUUAUGUACAGCAUUGCGUGAGCUUCGCUCCUUAUGUUUAACCAUUCCUGAGCCCGAAAGGGUGUACGGAAGGUGAACGGACUACUUUGAGAAAAUUAGCGUGCUCAAUGCAGGCGACUGCUUGUAUACUUAUGCGUGGAAUAAUGAGAAAGGACCUCGGUUCUGUUUCGUUGGUUUCCGGAAGCUGAGGUAAUGAUUGAUAGGGACAAACGGGGGCAUUCGUAUUGUGGUGUUAGAGGUGAAAUUCUGUGAUCACCGCAAGACGAGCUACUGCGAAAGCAUUUGCCAAGAAUGUUUUCAUUAAUCAAGAACGAAAGUUAGAGUUUCGAAGACGAUUAGAUACCGUCCUAGUUCUAACUAUAAACUAUGCCAACUGGGCAUCUGGCGAUUGCAUUAAUGCAUCGGCAGGCACUACGGGAAACCAAAGUUAUUGGGUUCCGGGGGGAGUAUGGUUGCAAAAUCGAAACUUAAAGGAAUUGACGGAGGGGCACACCAGAAGUGGAGCCUGCGGCUCAAUUUGACUCAACGCACGAAAACUUACUCGGUCCGAACACCGUGAGGAUUGACAGGUUGAAAGCUCUUUCUUGAUUCGGUGGGUGGUGGUGCAUGGCCGUUCGUAGUUGGUGGAGUGAUUUGUCUGGUUUAUUCCGAUAACGAACGAGACUCUAGCCUAUUAAUUAGUGAGACGAGCGAACCGCUUUUGCGGCGAUGCCGUUCAUUCACUUCUUAGAGGGACAAGUGUCGUGAGACACUCGAAGUUGAGCAAUAACAGGUCUGUGAUGCCCUUAGAUGUUCGGGGCUGCACGCGCGCUACAAUGGGGGCUUCAAAAAGCGUUCCUGGUCCGAAAGGAUCAGGGAAUCAUAAAUAGCCUUCACGAUUGGGAUCGGAGAUUGUAAUUAUUCUUCGUGAAAGAGGAAUUCCUAGUAAACGCGAAUCAUUAUUUCGCGUUGACUAAGUCCCUGCCCUUUGUACACACCGCCCGUCGCUACUACCGAUCGAAUGGUUUAGUGAGGUCUUCGGAUAGGUUGCAUGGAGCCACAAGCUCCACUGCGAAUUCUAGAAACUGACCGAACUUAACCAUUUAGAGGAAGUAAAAGUCGUAACAAGGUUUCCGUAGGUGAACCUGCAGAAGGAUCA